CUUAGAUACUGCUCUGCACGA
rnacentral:miRNA from 1 species